rnacentral:lncRNA from 1 species
CACUAGUUGAUCAACAUUUUCAACACCAACAACAAGCCCUCAAAUCAAAAGAAUGCAUGUAAAUUAACAACUUUAAAAACUGACAAUAUGAAUGCUACUACCUCCUCGGAAUUCAAACUGUAGCAGGAAAAUAGCAAAUAUCCUGAAAACUCCAUCUCUGUCACAAAAUCACAUAUUUGAUAGGACCAUAACCCAUGAGAUAAUGUGACUAUAUCAUUGCUCCAACAGUCCAACCACUUCAUGUUUUGAUCCUUGAAUGCAAUACUUGCACAAGUAAUUAAUCAAUUAAAAAUUAUUCUUCUUACUUUUUUA